UUACACAUGCAAGUAUCUGCACCCCCGUGAAAAUGCCCCACAGUUCCCUGACUGGGAACAAGGAGCUGGUAUCAGGCACCCUAUAUUCGCCCACGACGCCUUGCUAAGCCACACCCCCAAGGGAACUCAGCAGUGAUAAACAUUAAGCAAUAAGUGAAAACUUGACUUAGUUAAAGCUAAGAGGGCCGGUAAAACUCGUGCCAGCCACCGCGGUUAUACGAGAGGCCCAAGCUGACAGACAUCGGCGUAAAGAGUGGUUAAGAACAACACUUAACUAAAGCCGAACACCUUCAGAGCUGUCAUACGCAUAUGAAGGAAUGAAGACCUACCACGAAAGUGGCUUUAUAACUUCUGAACCCACGAAAGCUGGGACACAAACUGGGAUUAGAUACCCCACUAUGCCCCGCCCUAAACAUAGAUAAACCACUACAUUUUUAUCCGCCAGGGUACUACGAGCACGAGCUUAAAACCCAAAGGACUUGGCGGUGCUUAAGAUCCACCUAGAGGAGCCUGUUCUAGAACCGAUAACCCCCGUUCAACCUCACCCCCUCUUGUCCAACCCGCCUAUAUACCGCCGUCGUCAGCUUACCCUGUGAAGGACAAAUAGUAAGCAGAAUCAGUACAACCCAAAACGUCAGGUCGAGGUGUAGCGAAUGAGGAGGGAAGAAAUGGGCUACAUUCGCUAGUGCAGCGAAUACGAACAAUGUGCUGAAAUAAGCAUUUAAAGGAGGAUUUAGCAGUAAGAGGGAAGCAGAGCGUCCCACUGAAACUGGCCCUGAAGCGCGCACACACCGCCCGUCACUCUCCCCAAGCUACAACAGAACCAUAAAUAAACAAAAGAAACUGCAAAGGGGAGGCAAGUCGUAACAUGGUAAGCGUACCGGAAGGUGCGCUUGGAAAAAC
rnacentral:ncRNA from 1 species